rnacentral:rRNA from 1 species
ACCGCUCGCCCGUUCCGAUCCCCUCUCCUCUCGUCCCCCGACUCCGCGCCGCCGGCGAGGGUUUCGCUCGCGCCGCCCGCCCCCACGGCCGCCGCCGCCGCCGCUGCCCCUCCUCUCCCCGAGCCGCGCCUGCCCUCGGCGACGGGCGGGCGAGAGCCGAGCCCCCUGCCGCCGCCAGAUCCGCCGUCCUCCAGCUCAGGGACGUGCCCCGGCGCGCAGCCCGCGGGGACGCCGGAGAUGAGCUACAGCGGGAGCGGCGGCGGGAAGCGCCUCCGCACGUCGCCGAGCGAGGCGGAGGGCAGCCCCAGGCGCCGCCGCGGGUCGCCGUCGGUCUACUCCCCGUCGCCGUCGCCCUACCGGUCCCCCUCGCCGCUGCCGUCCCCGUCGACGUACCGGUCGCUCUCGCACUCGCCGUCGCCCUGCCGCUCGUGGUCGCAGAGGCCGCCCAGUGAUGAUGAUGCCGACGAUCUGAGCCGCAGCCGCGGGUCGGACGACCUCGACCGGCACGGGCGGAGGCCUGCCUGGCGGCCGCACGCGAACAAGGAGCUGGGCGAGAAUGGGCGCACCGGCGAGUUCAGCGUCCGGAUCGACGACUACGACCGCCUCUUCACCUGCAAGGCCUGCCGCCGCAUGCUCUCGCCGCCGGUCUACCAGUGCCCCUUCGCCCACGUCACCUGCUCGAGGUGCCACGAGGAAGUCGGCGACAACCGGUGCAGCUGCUGCGGCAGCGGCAAUGGCUAUGGGCGCAACCGCGUCGUCGAGGAGUUCCUAGGCCGCAUCCGCUUCUCCUGCCGCAACAAAGUGCAUGCCUGUGAGGCCUUCCUUCCGCACCACGAGAUGCGCGAGCAUGAGCAGACCUGCCGCCACGAGCCUAUCUUCUGCCCUGUCCCCCAAUGCGGCUUCGCCAGCCGGGCUGUCGCACUCACGACCCACCUCAUCCUCCGCCACCACUGGGACACGAUCAGGUUCCACUAUGACGAGAACUUCCGGGCCUCUGCCCUCACGUCGACCAUCUUUCAGAGCCGCGACGACGGCGAGCUCUUCUUCCUUGACUGCUUCAGCGAGGGCCGUGGCAUCGCUCUGUCCAUGAUCUGCAUCCGCCCUGAGAACGCCCGUGAGCAGGAGUUUGUGUAUGAGCUGAAGACGCCGGUAGGCAACGGCGACAGACGGCCCUGGCUGCAGAUGCAGUCUACGGCACGGAACACGUCGCUGCGUCACGGGCUGGGGGAGAAGGAGAAGGUCUUUCUGCUGGUCCCCAAGGACCUGCCGGGCACCGAGGAUGGCAACGUGGAGGUGUGCAUCCGUAAGCUUGGCCACCAGCGCGACUCUGUAUAGGUUAGGCGACCUUGGUUGAUGGCAACACUUGCUAAAUUUUAUAGGAUUACAGUUCAUUGUUGAAUGUUGAUGUUGAGGUAGUCUGAAUUUCAUAUCGGUGAAUGCUUGGUCUGUUGUGGAUUUUUCGGAUGGUUGAGAUGGGGAAUGUAAGCAGCGCGUGUUGCUGUGUUAACUUUUAUCCAUAUGUAGAUACUCGUAGGCUCUUUUAUCUGAGGACGAAACUUUUAUUUAUUUGUUCAUGAAUUCGUUAGGUAACACAUCUCUGGGUUUCACACUGAUAGUUGAUCCUGAAGCCCCAAUGCUUAU